rnacentral:rRNA from 1 species
AACGCUGGCGGCGUGCCUAAUACAUGCAAGUCGAGCGAACGGACGAGAAGCUUGCUUCUCUGAUGUUAGCGGCGGACGGGUGAGUAACACGUGGAUAACCUACCUAUAAGACUGGGAUAACUUCGGGAAACCGGAGCUAAUACCGGAUAAUAUUUUGAACCGCAUGGUUCAAAAGUGAAAGACGGUCUUGCUGUCACUUAUAGAUGGAUCCGCGCUGCAUUAGCUAGUUGGUAAGGUAACGGCUUACCAAGGCAACGAUGCAUAGCCGACCUGAGAGGGUGAUCGGCCACACUGGAACUGAGACACGGUCCAGACUCCUACGGGAGGCAGCAGUAGGGAAUCUUCCGCAAUGGGCGAAAGCCUGACGGAGCAACGCCGCGUGAGUGAUGAAGGUCUUCGGAUCGUAAAACUCUGUUAUUAGGGAAGAACAUAUGUGUAAGUAACUGUGCACAUCUUGACGGUACCUAAUCAGAAAGCCACGGCUAACUACGUGCCAGCAGCCGCGGUAAUACGUAGGUGGCAAGCGUUAUCCGGAAUUAUUGGGCGUAAAGCGCGCGUAGGCGGUUUUUUAAGUCUGAUGUGAAAGCCCACGGCUCAACCGUGGAGGGUCAUUGGAAACUGGAAAACUUGAGUGCAGAAGAGGAAAGUGGAAUUCCAUGUGUAGCGGUGAAAUGCGCAGAGAUAUGGAGGAACACCAGUGGCGAAGGCGACUUUCUGGUCUGUAACUGACGCUGAUGUGCGAAAGCGUGGGGAUCAAACAGGAUUAGAUACCCUGGUAGUCCACGCCGUAAACGAUGAGUGCUAAGUGUUAGGGGGUUUCCGCCCCUUAGUGCUGCAGCUAACGCAUUAAGCACUCCGCCUGGGGAGUACGACCGCAAGGUUGAAACUCAAAGGAAUUGACGGGGACCCGCACAAGCGG